UACGUAGGGUGCAAGCGUUAAUCGGAAUUACUGGGCGUAAAGCGUGCGCAGGCGGUUUUGUAAGUCUGACGUGAAAUCCCCGGGCUCAACCUGGGAAUUGCGUUGGAGACUGCAAGGCUAGAAUCUGGCAGAGGGGGGUAGAAUUCCACGUGUAGCAGUGAAAUGCGUAGAUAUGUGGAGGAACACCGAUGGCGAAGGCAGCCCCCUGGGUCAAGAUUGACGCUCAUGCACGAAAGCGUGGGGAGCAAACAGG
rnacentral:rRNA from 1 species